rnacentral:lncRNA from 1 species
GUUAACACACUAAGCUUUAAAUCAAUUACAUUUAAAAUAAAGAUUUUUUAAGACAAAUAUUUCUACUUCUUUUCCAUAGAAUUUCUUUCGGCUCCAUCAUCUCUUCGCUAUCUAAAAUACCAAUCAAGUUCUUUCCAUCGGUUUUUGUUUUGUGAAUAUCAGUUCUUUUACUGGGGUUUGCAUCUUGUCCUUCAGUUCUCGAUUUCUCUCCGCGGAUUCAUUCAUGGUCAAUAACAAUACUUCCGGUGAGAUUUUC